rnacentral:rRNA from 1 species
UACGGGGGGGGCAAGCGUUGUUCGGAAUUACUGGGCGUAAAGGGCUUGUAGGCGGCCAACUAAGUCAGACGUGAAAUCCCUCGGCUUAACCGGGGAACUGCAUCUGAUACUGGAUGGCUUGAGUUCGGGAGAGGGAUGCGGAAUUCCAGGUGUAGCGGUGAAAUGCGUAGAUAUCUGGAGGAACACCGGUGGCGAAGGCGGCGUCCUGGACCGACACUGACGCUGAGGGGCGAAAGCCAGGGGAGCAAACGGG